UACGUAGGGCGCAAGCGUUGUCCGGAAUUAUUGGGCGUAAAGAGCUUGUAGGCGGUUUGUCGCGUCUGCUGUGAAAUUUCGGGGCUCAACCCCGAACUUGCAGUGGGUACGGGCAGACUAGAGUGUGGUAGGGGGAGACUGGAAUUCCUGGUGUAGCGGUGAAAUGCGCAGAUAUCGGGAGGAACACCAAGGCGAAGGCAGCUCGCUGGGACGUGACUGACGCUGAGGCGCGAAAGCGUGGGGAGCGAACGAGGA
rnacentral:rRNA from 1 species